GACGAACGCUGGCGGCGUGCCUAAUACAUGCAAGUAGAACGCUGAAGAGAGGAGCUUACUCUUCUUGGAUGAGUUGCGAACGGGUGAGUAACGCGUAGGUAACCUGCCUUGUAGCGGGGGAUAACUAUUGGAAACGAUAGCUAAUACCGCAUAACAAUGGAUGACACAUGUCAUUUAUUUGAAAGGGGCAAUUGCUCCACUACAAGAUGGACCUGCGUUGUAUUAGCUAGUAGGUGAGGUAAUGGCUCACCUAGGCGACGAUACAUAGCCGACCUGAGAGGGUGAUCGGCCACACUGGGACUGAGACACGGCCCAGACUCCUACGGGAGGCAGCAGUAGGGAAUCUUCGGCAAUGGGGGCAACCCUGACCGAGCAACGCCGCGUGAGUGAAGAAGGUUUUCGGAUCGUAAAGCUCUGUUGUAAGUCAAGAACGGGUGUGAGAGUGGAAAGCUCACACUGUGACGGUAGCUUACCAGAAAGGGACGGCUAACUACGUG
rnacentral:rRNA from 1 species